rnacentral:rRNA from 1 species
GAUGAACGCUAGCUGCAGGCUUAACACAUGCAAGUCGCGGGGCAGCAUGGGGGUUGCUUGCAAUCCCCGAUGGCGACCGGCGCACGGGUGAGUAACGCGUAUCCAACCUGCCCUUCACCACGGGAUAACCCGGCGAAAGUCGGACUAAUACCGUAUGUUGUCCAUUGACGGCAUCCGAUUUGGACGAAAGGCUUGGCGGUGAGGGAUGGGGAUGCGUCCGAUUAGCCAGACGGCGGGGUAACGGCCCACCGUGGCUACGAUCGGUAGGGGUUCUGAGAGGAAGGUCCCCCACACUGGAACUGAGACACGGUCCAGACUCCUACGGGAGGCAGCAGUGAGGAAUAUUGAUCAAUGGGCGUAAGCCUGAACCAGCCAAGUAGCGUGCAGGAUGACGGCCCUAUGGGUUGUAAACUGCUUUUAUGCGGGGAUAAAGUGGCCCACGUGUGGGCUUUUGCAGGUACCGCAUGAAUAAGGACCGGCUAAUUCCGUG